CUUCCAAAGUGCUGGGAUUACGUGCAUGAGCCCCUGCACCUGAUGGAGUCUCAUUCUGUCGCUCAAGCUGAAGGGCAGUGCCGUGAUCUUGACCCACUGCAACCUCCGCCUCCAAGGUUCAAGCAAUUCUAGUGCCUCAGCAUUCCAAGUAGCUGAGAUUACAGGUGUGCACCACCAAACCCGGCUAAUUUUUGUAUUUUUAGUAGAGGCAGGCUUUCACCAUGUUGACCAGGCUGAUUAGUUUGUAUAUUUCUUUCUUCCUUUCCUUUUUUAUUUCUAGAAGCAUGUUAAUUUUAAAAUAUAAAUUAUGACAUGUAAAAGCC